rnacentral:lncRNA from 1 species
GGCAGUGAGGCAGCCAGCGCAGGGGCUUCUGCUGAGGGCGCAGGCGGAGCUUGAGGAAACCGCAGAUAAGUUUUUUUCACUUUGAAAGAUAGAGAUUAAUACAACUACUUAAAAAAUAUAGUCAAUAGGUUACUAAGAUAUUGCUUAGCGUUAAGCUUUUAACGUAAUUUUAAUAGCUUAAGAUUUUAAGAGAAAAUAUGAAGACUUAGAAGAGUAGCAUGACGAAGGAAAAGAUAAAAGAUUUCUAAAACAUGACGGAGGUUGAGAUGAAGCUUCUUCAUGGAGUAAAAAAUGUAUUUAAAAGAAAAUUGAGAGAAAGGACUACAGAGCCCUGAAUUAAUACCAAUAGAAGGGCAAUGCUUUUAGAUUAAAAUGAAGGUGACUUAAACAGCUUAAAGUUUACUUUAAAAGUUGUAGGUGAUUAAAAUAAUUUGAAGGCGAUCUUUUAAAAAGAGAUUAAACCGAAGGUGAUUAAAAGACCUUGAAAUCCAUGACGCAGGGAGAAUUGCGUCAUUUAAAGCCUAGUUAACGCAUUUAAACGCAGACGAAAAUGGAAAGAUUAGUUGGGAGUGGUAGGAUGAAACGAUUUGGAGAAGAUAGAAGUUUGAAGUGGAAAACUGGAAGACAGAAGUACAGGAAGGCGGAGAAAAGAAUAGAGAAGAUAGGGAAAUUAGAAGAUAAAAACAUACUUUUAGAAGAAAAAAGAUAAAUUUAAACCUGAAAAGUAGGAAGCAGAAGAAAAAAGACAAGCUAGGAAACAAAAAACUAAGGGCAAAAUGUACAAACUUAGAAGAAAAUUGGAAGAUAGAAACAAGAUAGAAAAUGAAAAUAUUGUCAAGAGUUUCAGAUAGAAAAUGAAAAACAAGCUAAGACAAGUAUUGGAGAAGUAUAGAAGAUAGAAAAAUAUAAAGCCAAAAAUUGGAUAAAAUAGCACUGAAAAAGUGAGGAAAUUAUUGGUAACCAAUUUAUUUUAAAAGCCCAUCAAUUUAAUUUCUGGUGGUGCAGAAGUUAGAAGGUAAAGCUUGAGAAGAUGAGGGUGUUUACGUAGACCAGAACCAAUUUAGAAGAAUACUUGAAGCUAGAAGGGGAAGUUGGUUAAAAAUCACAUCAAAAAAGGACUGGUGUAAUUUAAAAAAAAACUAAGGCAGAAGGCUUUUGGAAGAGUUAGAAGAAUUUGGAAGGCCUUAAAUAUAGUAGCUUAGUUUGAAAAAUGUGAAGGACUUUCGUAACGGAAGUAAUUCAAGAUCAAGAGUAAUUACCAACUUAAUGUUUUUGCAUUGGACUUUGAGUUAAGAUUAUUUUUUAAAUCCUGAGGACUAGCAUUAAUUGACAGCUGACCCAGGUGCUACACAGAAGUGGAUUCAGUGAAUCUAGGAAGACAGCAGCAGACAGGAUUCCGGGAACCAGUGUUUGAUGAAGCUAGGACUGAGGAGCAAGCGAGCAAGCAGCAGUUCGUGGUGAAGAUAGGAAAAGAGUCCAGGAGCCAGUGCGAUUUGGUGAAGGAAGCUAGGAAGAAGGAAGGAGCGCUAACGAUUUGGUGGUGAAGCUAGGAAAAAGGAUUCCAGAAAGGAGCGAGUGCGAUUUGGUGAUGAAGCUAGCAGGCGGCUUGGCUUGGCAACCACACGGAGGAGGCGAGCAGGCGUUGUGCGUAGAUAGAGGAUCCUAGACCAGCAUGCCAGUGUGCCAAGGCCACAGGGAAAACGAGUGGUUGGUAAAAAUCCGUGAGGUCGGCAAUAUGUUGUUUUUCUGGAACUUAUGGUAACCUUUUAUUUAUUUUCUAAUAUAAUGGGGGAGUUUCGUACUGAGGUGUAAAGGGAUUUAUAUGGGGAACGUAGGCCGAUUUCCGGGUGUUGUAGGUUUCUCUUUUUCAGGCUUAUACUCAUGAAUCUUGUCUGAAGCUUUUGAGGGCAGACUGCCAAGUCCUGGAGAAAUAGUAGAUGGCAAGUUUGUGGGUUUUUUUUUUUUUUUUUUUUUUUUUUACGAAUUUGAGGAAAACCAAAUGAAUUUGAUAGCCAAAUUGAGACAAUUUCAGCAAAUCUGUAAGCAGUUUGUAUGUUUAGUUGGGGUAAAUGAAGUAUUUCAGUUUUGUGAAUAGAUGACCUGUUUUUACUUCCUCACCCUGAAUUCGUUUUGUAAAUGUAGAGUUUGGAUGUGUAACUGAGGCGGGGGGGAGUUUUCAGUAUUUUUUUUUUGUGGGGGUGGGGGCAAAAUAUGUUUUCAGUUCUUUUUCCCUUAGGUCUGUCUAGAAUCCUAAAGGCAAAUGACUCAAGGUGUAACAGAAAACAAGAAAAUCCAAUAUCAGGAUAAUCAGACCACCACAGGUUUACAGUUUAUAGAAACUAGAGCAGUUCUCACGUUGAGGUCUGUGGAAGAGAUGUCCAUUGGAGAAAUGGCUGGUAGUUACUCUUUUUUCCCCCCACCCCCUUAAUCAGACUUUAAAAGUGCUUAACCCCUUAAACUUGUUAUUUUUUACUUGAAGCAUUUUGGGAUGGUCUUAACAGGGAAGAGAGAGGGUGGGGGAGAAAAUGUUUUUUUCUAAGAUUUUCCACAGAUGCUAUAGUACUAUUGACAAACUGGGUUAGAGAAGGAGUGUACCGCUGUGCUGUUGGCACGAACACCUUCAGGGACUGGAGCUGCUUUUAUCCUUGGAAGAGUAUUUCCAGUUGAAGCUGAAAAGUACAGCACAGUGCAGCUUUGGUUCAUAUUCAGUCAUCUCAGGAGAACUUCAGAAGAGCUUGAGUAGGCCAAAUGUUGAAGUUAAGUUUUCCAAUAAUGUGACUUCUUAAAAGUUUUAUUAAAGGGGAGGGGCAAAUAUUGGCAAUUAGUUGGCAGUGGCCUGUUACGGUUGGGAUUGGUGGGGUGGGUUUAGGUAAUUGUUUAGUUUAUGAUUGCAGAUAAACUCAUGCCAGAGAACUUAAAGUCUUAGAAUGGAAAAAGUAAAGAAAUAUCAACUUCCAAGUUGGCAAGUAACUCCCAAUGAUUUAGUUUUUUUCCCCCCAGUUUGAAUUGGGAAGCUGGGGGAAGUUAAAUAUGAGCCACUGGGUGUACCAGUGCAUUAAUUUGGGCAAGGAAAGUGUCAUAAUUUGAUACUGUAUCUGUUUUCCUUCAAAGUAUAGAGCUUUUGGGGAAGGAAAGUAUUGAACUGGGGGUUGGUCUGGCCUACUGGGCUGACAUUAAUUACAAUUAUGGGAAAUGCAAAAGUUGUUUGGAUAUGGUAGUGUGUGGUUCUCUUUUGGAAUUUUUUUCAGGUGAUUUAAUAAUAAUUUAAAACUACUAUAGAAACUUCAGAGCAAAGGAAGUGGCUUAAUGAUCCUGAAGGGAUUUCUUCUGAUGGUAGCUUUUGUAUUAUCAAGUAAGAUUCUAUUUUCAGUUGUGUGUAAGCAAGUUUUUUUUUUAGCGUAGGAGAAAUACUUUUCCAUUGUUUAACUGCAAAACAAGAUGUUAAGGUAUGCUUCAAAAAUUUUGUAAAUUGUUUAUUUUAAAUUUAUCUGUUUGUAAAUUGUAACUGAUUAAGAAUUGUGAUAGUUCAGCUUGAAUGUCUCUUAGAGGGUGGGCUUUUGUUGAUGAGGGAGGGGAAACUUUUUUUUUUCUAUAGACUUUUUUCAGAUAACAUCUUCUGAGUCAUAACCAGCCUGGCAGUAUGAUGGCCUAGAUGCAGAGAAAACAGCUCCUUGGUGAAUUGAUAAGUAAAGGCAGAAAAGAUUAUAUGUCAUACCUCCAUUGGGGAAUAAGCAUAACCCUGAGAUUCUUACUACUGAUGAGAACAUUAUCUGCAUAUGCCAAAAAAUUUUAAGCAAAUGAAAGCUACCAAUUUAAAGUUACGGAAUCUACCAUUUUAAAGUUAAUUGCUUGUCAAGCUAUAACCACAAAAAUAAUGAAUUGAUGAGAAAUACAAUGAAGAGCCAAUGUCCAUCUCAAAAUACUGCUUUUACAAAAGCAGAAUAAAAGCGAAAUGAAAUGAAAAUGUUAUACUACAUUAAUCCUGGAAUAAAAGAAGCCGAAAUAAAUGAGAGAUGAGUUGGGAUCAAGUGGAUUGAGGAGGCUGUGCUGUGUGCCAAUGUUUCGUUUGCCUCAGACAGGUAUCUCUUCGUUAUCAGAAGAGUUGCUUCAUUUCAUCUGGGAGCAGAAAACAGCAGGCAGCUGUUAACAGAUAAGUUUAACUUGCAUCUGCAGUAUUGCAUGUUAGGGAUAAGUGCUUAUUUUUAAGAGGUGUGGAGUUCUUAAAUAUCAACCAUGGCACUUUCUCCUGACCCCUUCCCUAGGGGAUUUCAGGAUUGAGAAAUUUUUCCAUCGAGCCUCUUUAAAAUUGUAGGACUUGUUCCUGUGGGCUUCAAUGAUGGGAUAGUACACUUCACUCAGAGGCAUUUGCAUCUUUAAAUAAUUUCUUAAAAGCCUCUAAAGUGAUCAGUGCCUUGAUGCCAACUAAGGAAAUUUGUUUAGCAUUGAAUCUCUGAAGGCUCUAUGAAAGGAAUAGCAUGAUGUGCUGUUAGAAUCAGAUGUUAUUGCUAAAAUUUACAUGUUGUGUUGUGAUGUAAAUUGUGUAGAAAACCAUUAAAUCAUUCAAAAUAAUAAACUAUUUUUAUUAGAGAAUGUAUACUUUUAGAAAGCUGUCUCCUUAUUUAAAUACAAUACUGUUUGUCUGUAGUUUAGUGUUGGGGCAAUCUUGGGGGGGAUUCUUCUCUAAUCUUUCAGAAACUUUGUCUGCGAACACUCUUUAAUGGACCAGAUCAGGAUUUGAGCGGAAGAACGAAUGUAACUUUAAGGCAGGAAAGACAAAUUUUAUUCUUCAUAAAGUGAUGAGCAUAUAAUAAUUCCAGGCACAUGGCAAUAGAGGCCCUCUAAAUAAGGAAUAAAUAACCUCUUAGACAGGUGGGAGAUUAUGAUCAGAGUAAAAGAGGCAUUUCAUCCUUCAUGAAGCUGUUCAGGAUUUUGAAUUGCAUAUGAGUGCUUGGCUCUUCCUUCUGUUCUCCUAGUGAGUGUAUGAGACCUUGCAGUGAGUUUAUCAGCAUACUCAAAAUUUUUUUCCUGGAAUUUGGAGGGAUGGGAGGAGGGGGUGGGGCUUACUUGUUGUAGCUUUUUUUUUUUUUACAGACUUCACAGAGAAUGCAGUUGUCUUGACUUCAGGUCUGUCUGUUCUGUUGGCAAGUAAAUGCAGUACUGUUCUGAUCCCGCUGCUAUUAGAAUGCAUUGUGAAACGACUGGAGUAUGAUUAAAAGUUGUGUUCCCCAAUGCUUGGAGUAGUGAUUGUUGAAGGAAAAAAUCCAGCUGAGUGAUAAAGGCUGAGUGUUGAGGAAAUUUCUGCAGUUUUAAGCAGUCGUAUUUGUGAUUGAAGCUGAGUACAUUUUGCUGGUGUAUUUUUAGGUAAAAUGCUUUUUGUUCAUUUCUGGUGCUGGGAGGGGACUGAAGCCUUUAGUCUUUUCCAGAUGCAACCUUAAAAUCAGUGACAAGAAACAAAUUCCAAACAAGCAACAGUCUUCAAGAAAUUAAACUGGCAAGUGGAAAUGUUUAAACAGUUCAGUGAUCUUUAGUGCAUUGUUUUUGUGUGGGUUUCUCUCUCCCCUCCCUUGGUCUUAAUUCUUACAUGCAGGAACACUCAGCAGACACACGUAUGCGAAGGGCCAGAGAAGCCAGACCCAGUAAGAAAAAAUAGCCUAUUUACUUUAAAUAAACCAAACAUUCCAUUUUAAAUGUGGGGAUUGGGAACCACUAGUUCUUUCAGAUGGUAUUCUUCAGACUAUAGAAGGAGCUUCCAGUUGAAUUCACCAGUGGACAAAAUGAGGAAAACAGGUGAACAAGCUUUUUCUGUAUUUACAUACAAAGUCAGAUCAGUUAUGGGACAAUAGU